AACCCAUGUUGAGGACAUUUCUACAGGAGCUCCUUGAACAUAUCCCAUAUCUCAAAAAAAGACUCAAAUUUUAUUUGCACAAAGGACGAUAUUUUAUUCCUGAGCAU